rnacentral:rRNA from 1 species
UAAUGGGUCAGCGACUUAUAUUCUGUAGCAAGGUUAACCGAAUAGGGGAGCCGAAGGGAAACCGAGUCUUAACUGGGCGUUAAGUUGCAGGGUAUAGACCCGAAACCCGGUGAUCUAGCCAUGGGCAGGUUGAAGGUUGGGUAACACUAACUGGAGGACCGAACCGACUAAUGUUGAAAAAUUAGCGGAUGACUUGUGGCUGGGGGUGAAAGGCCAAUCAAACCGGGAGAUAGCUGGUUCUCCCCGAAAGCUAUUUAGGUAGCGCCUCGUGAAUUCAUCUCCGGGGGUAGAGCACUGUUUCGGCAAGGGGGUCAUCCCGACUUACCAACCCGAUGCAAACUGCGAAUACCGGAGAAUGUUAUCACGGGAGACACACGGCGGGUGCUAACGUCCGUCGUGAAGAGGGAAACAACCCAGACCGCCAGCUAAGGUCCCAAAGUCAUGGUUAAGUGGGAAACGAUGUGGGAAGGCCCAGACAGCCAGGAUGUUGGCUUAGAAGCAGCCAUCAUUUAAAGAAAGCGUAAUAGCUCACUGGUCGAGUCGGCCUGCGCGGAAGAUGUAACGGGGCUAAACCAUGCACCGAAGCUGCGGCAGCGACACUAUGUGUUGUUGGGUAGGGGAGCGUUCUGUAAGCCUGUGAAGGUGGCCUGUGAGGGUUGCUGGAGGUAUCAGAAGUGCGAAUGCUGACAUAAGUAACGAUAAAGCGGGUGAAAAGCCCGCUCGCCGGAAGACCAAGGGUUCCUGUCCAACGUUAAUCGGGGCAGGGUGAGUCGACCCCUAAGGCGAGGCCGAAAGGCGUAGUCGAUGGGAAACAGGUUAAUAUUCCUGUACUUGGUGUUACUGCGAAGGGGGGACGGAGAAGGCUAUGUUGGCCGGGCGACGGUUGUCCCGGUUUAAGCGUGUAGGCUGGUUUUCCAGGCAAAUCCGGAAAACCAAGGCUGAGGCGUGAUGACGAGGCACUACGGUGCUGAAGCGACAAAUGCCCUGCUUCCAGGAAAAGCCUCUAAGCAUCAGGUAACAUCAAAUCGUACCCCAAACCGACACAGGUGGUCAGGUAGAGAAUACCAAGGCGCUUGAGAGAACUCGGGUGAAGGAACUAGGCAAAAUGGUGCCGUAACUUCGGGAGAAGG